rnacentral:misc_RNA from 1 species
GGCAAAAAUCAGCACUUCUCAUUUCAUUGAGACUGUACACAAAGGCCCUAUUCCACAAGUAGGAAGCCUACAAAUCAAACAAGAAACUUCACAAAAAACCAUCCUACACAAGGCUCCUGGCUGAUCUCAAGAAAUGCAUCACUGAAGAUUAUCGAGUGGGAUUGUUUACGAGGUUCAAUAUCUUAACUCCUAUAGUAACAAAUACUACGCGCAGUAGCCAACCAACCUGACUUGCCUUAAAUAAGGUAGGAAUCGACAAGGCUUCUGCACAAAAACAGAUGCCAGCCACUGACAUAAAUGUUCCGUUAGUCCAAAGCAUGGAACCCCUCCAAAAAUCAAAAUGAUGUUCAAUCCUCAAGAUUUUACACCAGCCCUUCAAGGGAACAAACCCUCCCUCUCACUGGUGUCAAACCUCUUGUCUACUUCAGGCCAAAAUCAAUCAAAUCCCAAGAAGAUUCAGAAUCAUAAUGAUCAUAGUUUUCAUAGUUCUCAUCAUACUUGCCAACAUCAGCUGAAUCUGCCUCGUCAUCCACCCUCCAUAGCAUAUCAUUCUCCUCUUUGUGCAAAAGUUUCACAUGUGCAAGAUUAAUUAUCUCGGCUUUCAUGAAGUACAAAAUCUUCUCCUUACGUGUCAUGUUUUUCCACGUCUCGAAACCUCUGUUAUCAACUUCAAACUCAUUUCCGUCAAUGUUUUUCUUCACAAAAUCCUCCAUGAAAAUUCGAAAAGCCGAUCUGGGUUGGUGAAUAAGCUUCUUCUUACUGCUCUUCUUUUUCUCUGUUCUCUUAUUACACUUCUUCACUUUAUCCCUUCUCGUUUAAUAACUUUCUCCCCUGUAGAUCUUGGCAGCUGUAUUUCUACUCCCACCGCCCCACUUCACUCUGUUUCCCACUUAAACGCUACGAAUUCAUCAACCCCAUCUGCUAAUACGAGUACUACUACUCCACCGCCGGCACCGGAGUCGCCGUCGUUGGAGAAAGACAGACUGUUACAAAACGGUGUCGUUAAGAGAGCUUUCAACCCUUUCGGCUCCGCCGCGUACAACUUUAUUCUGAUGUCUGCUUAUAGAGGAGGUUAUAACACUUUUGCUGUAAUGGGUUUAGGUUCAAAGCCUCUUCACGUCUACGGCAAACCCAGUUACCGUUGUGAGUGGGUUUCUUCUGAUAAACAGAAAACCCCCAUCUCCGCUGUUGGUCAUAAGAUCCUCCCGGACUGGGGUUAUGGCAGGGUUUAUACUGUGAUAGUCAUAAAUUGCACUUUCCCUGUACCAGUUGGCAACGGCGAAAAUGGCGGAAAACUUCUCGUUCACGCCACCACCAACGGCGGCGGCGACACUAACUUUAACACCACCGACACUUUCGAGGCAUUGUCGGAAACGGGAAAGGAUUUCGUCAACUUCACUUCUGUAUAUGAAGCUCCCCCAAAGUAUGAUUUCUUCUACUGCGGGUCAUCUCUAUACGGGAACUUGAGCCCACAGAGAGUAAGAGAGUGGCUGGCAUUUCACGUUAGGCUGUUCGGAGAGAAGUCCCAUUUCGUAAUUCACGAUGCUGGAGGUGUACAUGAGGGGGUAAUGGAGGUGCUUAAGCCAUGGAUGGAGAAAGGAUACGUUACAUUACAGGAUAUUAGGGACCAAGAGAGAUUUGAUGGGUACUAUCAUAAUCAGUUCCUUAUUGUCAAUGAUUGCUUACACAGAUAUAAGUUUCAAGCUAAAUGGAUGUUCUUCUUUGAUGUGGAUGAGUACAUUUAUGUACCAAAGAAGAGCACCAUUAAAUCUGUUGUGAAUUCCUUAUCGGAUUAUACACAAUUCACCAUUGAACAGAUGCCAAUGUCUAACAAGCUCUGUCUCGAAGAGGACCGCGGUAAAUCCUAUAGAAAAUGGGGGUUUGAGAAGCUAGUGUACAAGGACGUGAAGACAGGUAUUAGGAGGGAUCGAAAAUAUGCAGUACAACCUCGCAAUGUGAUCGCCAACGGUGUGCAUAUGUCUCAGAAUACAGUAGGCAAGACAACACACAAGACAGAAGGACGUAUCAAAUACUUCCACUAUCACGGGACCAUCGCGGAGCACCGUGAACCAUGCCGGCAGCUGGUCAACACCACAGCCAUCACCGUUGACGGUAUCCCUUAUAAUGUUGACACUACAAUGAGAGAUGUUGCUGCAACUGUUAAGAGAUUCGAACUUAAGAUGAUUGGCACUACAUUACAAAGAACGCGGCAAUGAGGUCAACAUUGUCUUGUACUUUGUUUUCAACAUGUGUUAUUACUUUUAAGUUUCUUUUGGUUAGAGCUAUAUAUAUUCUUCUUCUCUUGUUCAUUUCUGUAUGAUAAAAUUUUUCUUAUACUUUUUGGAAUAGAAGCAUGGGUGGUAUAGAAACAGCAGUGACAAGCAUAUUAGUAUAUGAUUCGUUUAUUUAUAUAUUUGUAGGAUUACAGGGUGUUUUGUACUGUUGUCUUUGUUUAUAACACUAUUUAAUUCGCUUUGUUUUGC